AUUGAACGCUGGCGGAAUGCUUUACACAUGCAAGUCGAACGGCAGCACGGGAGCUUGCUCCUGGUGGCGAGUGGCGAACGGGUGAGUAACGCGUCGGAACGUACCGAGGUAAUGGGGGAUAACGCAGCGAAAGCUGUGCUAAUACCGCAUACGCCCUGAGGGGGAAAGUGGGGGAUCGCAAGACCUCACGUUAUUCGAGCGGCCGACGUCUGAUUAGCUUGUUGGUGAGGUAAUGGCUCACCAAGGCGACGAUCAGUAGCGGGUCUGAGAGGAUGAUCCGUCACACUGGAACUGAGACACGGUCCAGACUCCUACGGGAGGCAGCAGUGGGGAAUUUUGGACAAUGGGGGAAA
rnacentral:rRNA from 1 species